GUGCCAGCACCGCGGUAAUACCGGCAGCCCGGGUGAUGGCCGCUAUUAUUGGGCCUAAAGCGUCCGUAGCUGGCCGAACAAGUCCGUCGGGAAAUCCACUCGCUCAACGAGUGGGCGUCCGACGGAAACUGCACAGCUUGGGACCGGAAGGCUCGAAGGGUACGUUCGGGGUAGGAGUGAAAUCCCAUAAUCCCGCACGGACCACCGAUGGCGAAAGCACUUCGAGAAAACGGAUCCGACAGUGAGGGACGAAAGCCAGGGUCUCCAACCGGAUUAGAUACCCUAGUAGUCC
rnacentral:rRNA from 1 species